GUUUGUGGUGAUAUUAAUAUUGAAUGUUUAAAUGAUCUGAAUCUGCCAGUACUAGGGUAGCAUGAGACAAGAUUUCUAAGAAUAAGUAAAUGUGCCCUAGCCUAGGUUAUUAUGUCCAUACACAUAACACAUGACAAUCCCCAAGGUACUCUUGACACACCUCAUUCAUGCUUCAGGACAAAAAGGAGUACCCCUAUAAAGGGUGGUUUUACCCACACAUAUAUAUAUAUGUAUAUUAAUGCCAUAGGGGUGUCAAGGGGGGUACCAAAUAAUUUUAAGGUAAGAAACUAAGUUUGAAUCUAUUCUCCCAAGCAUUACGGCUAAUAAAAUCUGAAUUGGAAGGGAAGAGGUUUAUACAAUAAACAGGAGACCUUUUUCUUACAGGACAUGUAUGACUCAGCUGAAUGGGUAGGUGCCACGCACAUGACUGUUAAUCCCCUCAAACCACACAUUAGGACUUUAAAAGACAUGGUAGU